UACAGAGGUGGCAAGCGUUGUUCGGAAUUACUGGGCGUAAAGGGCGCGUAGGCGGUCUUGCAAGUCCUGUGUGAAAUCCCUCGGCUCAACCGAGGAACUGCCUCGGAAACUGCAUGGCUUGAGGCCGGGAGAGGGUAGCGGAAUUCCCAGUGUAGCGGUGGAAAUGCGUAGAGAUGCGGAGGAACACCGAUGGCGAAGGCGAGCCCCCUGGGC
rnacentral:rRNA from 1 species